UACGGGGGGGGCAAGCGUUGUUCGGAAUUACUGGGCGUAAAGGGCUCGUAGGCGGCCAACUAAGUCAGACGUGAAAUCCCUCGGCUUAACCGGGGAACUGCGUCUGAUACUGGAUGGCUAGAGGUUGGGAGAGGGAUGCGGAAUUCCAGGUGUAGCGGUGAAAUGCGUAGAUAUCUGGAGGAACACCGGUGGCGAAGGCGGCAUCCUGGACUGCACCUGACGCUGACACGCGAAAGCUAGGGGAGCGAACGGG
rnacentral:rRNA from 1 species